GAUGAAGAACGUAGCGAAAUGCGAUACGUAAUGUGAAUUGCAGAAUUCAGUGAAUCAUCGAAUCUUUGAACGCAUAUUGCGCUCUCUGGUAUUCCGGAGAGCAUGCUUGUUUGAGUAUCAGUAAACACCUCAACUUCCAUAUCUUUUUUGAAAUGGGAGUUGGACUUGAGUGAUCCCAACGCUUUUCCUCACCGAAAAGUGGCGGGUUACUUGAAAUGCAGGUGCAGCUGGACUUUUCUCUGAGCUAUAAGCAUAUCUAUUUAGUCUGCCUAAAAAACAGAUUAUUACCUUUGCUGCAGCUAACAUAUAGGAGAUUAGUUCUUGUGCUGACUGAUGCAGGAUUCACAAAGACAGGCUUCGGCCGACUUUGUAAACUCGAUCUCAAAUCAAGUAAGACUACCCGCUGAACUUAAGCAUAUCAAUAAGCGGAGGA
rnacentral:misc_RNA from 1 species